UGUGAGGGGUAGGAGAGAUGGGAGGUUGAGGCUGAGAGACUUGGAGAGAGAACUCGGCCUGUGUGAUUUGGAGAGGAUCGCAGUCCGCCCAUGUUGGAAACUGCGGAUAAACCUCGUAAUUUUUUCAUCACACUCCGUCUCGAAGCAAUCCUGAAACCGAAUCACCCUCAAGCGAUCGAUCUUUCUUCCUCUCGAUCUAUCUUCGAUCGCAUUGAUCUCUUGUUUCAUUGCCUCGGUCGAUCAGGGCUUUCGGAUCUGGGCUUCGUUGCGUGGAAAGAUGGCGGAGAUACGAUUGCCUUUUCAAGUACAUCAUCAUCGGCGAUACAGAUCGUUUUCUGCUCGGUACGCGAGAGUCGUCUCCUGAGUCAGUUCUUUCGGUGAGUUGUACUACCGGAAACAAUGAUUCCCUCUUUCUUGAUUCUGGAUUUCUUCAAGGAUACAUCUCUGCUAGUGUCUUGUUGGUAGGAUACGUAGGACAAGAUUAAUCAAUUUGAUCUGGGAUCAUGGUCUUAGAAUUUGUGCAUCAAUCUGUAAUGCGCAUUUCCUGCUUCAAUGCCUACUGCUAAAAUUUAGUUGCUUGACGGGAAGAUACUAUUUCAUUGGAUGAACCAGCCAGCAAAAUGAAUGACAAGCAUUUGACGCAAAGCCUUAUAGACUGGACAAGGAUCUUUCACAUCAAUCACCAUAUCUUAUAUAAGGUGAUUCUGGUGCAUUGCUUGUCCAUGACAUCACCAGGAGGGAGACAUUCAAUCAUCUCGAAAGCCGGCUGGAAGAUGCUCAAUCAUGUUCACAGAAGCUGCAGCACUGAGGAGGGAUAACAAUUUGCCAAAGAGCCUGGCUUGAUCUUUAUGGAAGCCUCGGUAGGAAUUGCACCCGAUGUAGAGGAGGUAUCUGACAGUUGUUGACCGGCACUGGAACCAUUGACUUCACUUGUUUGGCUCAUCCUCUCCACCUUCUCUUCUCUAUUAGCAUGGGCUAAGAUUCCUGCAUAACUGCAUAACCAAUGGUUUGAUCAAUCAACAACCACAUACUUCCUGACAACAGUGUGGAUUGGGUGGCUGUACUCGAGUUGAGUUGUUCGAUGGACGCUGCUGAAUAAAGAAAAGGAUGUGGAAGAGCCUACCUUUGUGAAAUAUCAUUAUUAUUAUACACAAGCUAUCAUCCAUCAGAGAUCUACGAAAUAAGAAGAAUCCGUUCUUCAGAAAGCAGGAGGGGCGCCGCCGGGGAAGAAGAGCCUCCCACCGGGGAAGCCGCCUCCCUGUGGCGUGUCGUCGUGCAAGGCGUCGCUGAUCUUGUGGAAACCGUGGAAGAAGACGUCGAAGCCGAAGACGAGCCCGACGAGGAGGAUCACCAGCAGCAGCAUGAAGCACAGGCAGCAGCACCGGCUCGGGCACCACAUAAUGAUCGGUCUCUUCUCUCCUUUGCCAAUCUUUAUCAAGCAGGCAACAGAAAGCCAACACGAAAGAGAAAGGUUCUCUCUUUCGCAGGAUGAGGAGGGGUUUUGGACCUUGGAGAAGUGUGUGUAUAUAUAUAUAUAUAUAUAUAAGGGACAGAUGAAGGGGCUCUAAGUUUGAUACGGUGACGGUGACGGUGACGGUGACGGCUGUAGUGGCAAAAACAGGCCGGUACCGACGCAUUGGAUUCAAAACGUACCUGGAUCGGUGGGACCCAACUCUGGAACCACCGGUUACUCCAAUCAUAGACCAAGUCUUAGACGGAGUCCCGAAUUCUCAAGUGACCGACGAGGUAAUUAGGUGACUUGGAUAAUGAACACGUGGGUCCCGGUGCCUCUUCUGAAACAUGGGUCUCAGUGAUGUCUUCGAUCAAGGCCCUGGUAGCGCCGCCGGUAACUGGUAGGUAAGAAGAUGAACAAAAUUAUUUUGGAUCAUAUAAUUUGAUAGGGGACCAUGAAUAUGAUAAUUAUUUACUUCAUUUUUUUUUUAAUGUGAAGUGAGUUCUUUUUA